UACGUAGGGUGCAAGCGUUGUCCGGAAUUAUUGGGCGUAAAGAGCUCGUAGGCGGUCUGUUGCGUCGGCUGUGAAAACCCGGGGCUCAACUCCGGGCCUGCAGCCGAUACGGGCAGACUAGAGUUCGGCAGGGGAGACUGGAAUUCCUGGUGUAGCGGUGAAAUGCGCAGAUAUCAGGAGGAACACCGGUGGCGAAAGCGGCUCACUGGAUCUCUUCUGACGCUGAGGCACGAAAGCUAGGGUAGCGAACGGG
rnacentral:rRNA from 1 species